rnacentral:rRNA from 1 species
AGACUCUCGGCAACGGAUAUCUCGGCUCUUGCAUCGAUGAAGAACGUAGCGAAAUGCGAUACUUGGUGUGAAUUGCAGAAUCCCGUGAACCAUCGAGUCGUUGAACGCAAGUUGCGCCCGAAGCCAUCAGGCCGAGGGCACGCCUGCCUGGGUGUCGCACAUC